GCCCGAGUAGCUCAGUUGGCAGAGCGACGCUCUCGUAAAGCGUAGGUCAGGAGUUCGAUCCUCCUCUCGGGCUCCA
rnacentral:tRNA from 1 species